UAGAUUUAUUAUAUAAAAUAGACGGUUAGUAUAUCGAUUUUUGAUCUAUCUAAAAUCGACUAGACUUCCGUUGAUUUUUAGCAAAAGAAAUUGCAACCGUUUUUACUUCCCGCGUCCCUCGUUUCAUAAAGAAAUGUGCUUUACACUUUUACUUCUCCAUUUCACCCACCUUCUCUCUCUGCUUCCGUCCCACCAUCUUCGCUCCGCUGCCAUUGCACAUUCGUGGAUCCACUACCUCGGCGCCCGUCGUUGCUCCGCUGUCGUAGCGCCGGUCGUCGCUCCGCUGCCCCUGCUUGUCGCUCCGCUGCCCCCGCUCGUCGCUCUGCUGCUCCCGUGCAUGUCGUCACUCCAUCGCACUCGCGCCGCUGUUGCUCCGUAAUUGACGGCAAGGCGGUGGCGCAGAAUAUCAUAUCUGAAAUCGCGGAGGAAGUGCGUGCCCUCUCUCAAAAUUAUGGAAAGGUACCACUGUAUCGAAAGAGGUGCAUUUGAUCUUGGCUUGCAUUUGAUUUGAUCUCUAUCAUUCCUUCAGAACUUGUUAGAAAGCUGUCACCUGCACCUCUGCAGACUUAUGGCCUGUUCAACAUGCUCCGUCUAUGGCGUCUUUGAAGAGUUAGUGCAUUGUUUUCAAGGUUGGAAAAGGACAAAAGCUAUAACUAUUUUUGGGUUCGAUGUGCCAAACUUAUGUGUGGAGUUUAAACAGUCACAAAUCAGUUUCUCUAGUCCAAAUGGCAGGAUUAGGCUUCGGAGCCAUUUUCUCUUUAUGGAAUACAUUCAACUAAGAAUGCUGAUCCCUUUCAUCUAAUGUGCCACAUCUUUGCAUCAAGCCCCAGGAUAUUUAUGGAGCUUGGCAUCUAUCCAAUUGUUAUUGCCAGAUAUAUGAUGCACUUCUUGGCAAGAUCUCAGCAUCCUGCAACAGUAAAUGCAUGUUAGAUGAUUCUGGAAAUCAUUAUUACAAUUGUUCAAGCCUUUGGCGCUAUCAAAUAUAGACUGUAUGGCCAACUCAGAUGGGUGGAUAGUCUCUUUGUAAUGGGUCAACUUUCAUUUGGAGGAAUAACUGUUAUAUACCUUAAUCAAUAUUUUUAGAAAGGAUAUAGUUUCAUUAGUUCUGAAAUCCCACCGUUCAUCUUUUCUAUUUUUAUACUUUUUCUUAAACAAAAUAAGCAUAGGGCAUAUCUAAAUAGCUAUAGAGUGAAAUCUAACAAGUCUU